rnacentral:rRNA from 1 species
GACGAACCGAGCGAACGUUGUUCGGAAUUACUGGGCGUAAAGCGCACGUAGGCGGCUUUGUAAGUUAGAGGUGAAAGCCCGGGGCUCAACUCCGGAAUUGCCUUUAAGACUGCAUCGCUAGAAUUGUGGAGAGGUAAGUGGAAUUCCGAGUGUAGAGGUGAAAUUCGUAGAUAUUCGGAAGAACACCAGUGGCGAAGGCGACUUACUGGACACAUAUUGACGCUGAGGUGCGAAAGCGUGGGGAGCAAACAGG